GGGCAGGCAGGCCAAGGGGCAGCCGAGCAACUCUGGGCUGUACAGGAGUGUUAACAUAUUGCAUUCAUUCAGUGCACGAAAAAGUAGUUCAAGACUGAAAAUGAAGUGCUCUCAAAUGUGUGAAUCUUUGGCUAGGAACCAUAGACAAAAUGACUAAGGUUUAAAGUCAAAUAAGGCUACCCCUGCUGAGAAAAAAAUCUUUUCAUUAUUUUUGGAAUUGUUUUAUAUACCUAAUAAAUAAGGUAAACUAUGCUCUUGUCACUGAGCAUUAUCUUCUCCAGCAACUAGGAAGAAGUUGCUUAAAAUCUUAAAAAAAAAAAAAAAAAGCGUGUUUCAUCUAAUUAUUCCUACAAAACCAUCAAGUCAUUUUUCUUUUAAUAUGCCACCAUCUACUGGUUUUUAAAACAUGUAUAUUGCUUGGCACCUCAACCCACUUAUGAAUUUCUGAUAUUGAUGAAUCUGACCAUAAGCUAGAAAAUUAAAUGUCAAUUUUUUAAAACACUGCCAAACAUACAAAUAAAUCUACAAGGGCCCCUGGAUGACAAUAACUACUUUUUGACCUUGGAUAACAAUUACUAAACUUUCAUUUAUUGAAGACUUACAAAAGCUAAUUAUCUAGGGUAGCUUAAGUUUUAGGAAAGAUUCUGUUGUUUCUGUUUUUAAAAAAGCCCAACUGGAGAGUUAAUAAAAAAAAAUAUACAAGUGUUCUUCCGAUCCUUUCAGAAUGAAAUUUUUAAAUGUUAAAUGUAAGUAACAGUUUCCUCCUUCUUCUGGGUGUGUGCCGACGUUUUCCUUCCCACCAAUUAAGAGAGAAGGCUGGGCCCAACUGAAUUAUCAGAAAAUACUUAUACCACGUUAAGUUUUUAAUGGAUAUGGUAUAAUUUAAAGGCAUGUACAAGAAUGGGCUUUUUAUUGUCCAUGAAUGUAACAAAUCUCGUUUUUGUAAUUUGUAUAUGUAUCCACAGAAGAGCAUCUAGGAGAUAGAAAGUUACUUCUGACUCAUGAGAGGAAAUAUUUUUACUUUCUUUUCCUUUGUGCUGUUUUUAGAUUUUUCUUCUUUUUUGUUAAUUUAGAAUUUCUCUUUGGUGAAUAUGAGUUAUAUGUGCAACAAAAUAACAAAAAUCUAAUGGGAAAAACAAUUUUUAUACUUAGGAAAAUUUCCUUUGUAAUCUCUGAUUGACAGGAUGACAGGUGGUUUUUAUUUUCU
rnacentral:lncRNA from 1 species